GUGAUCUGUGUGUAAGAUCCCUCUCAGCUAUAGAUGCUUUGAGCUGGUGAUCCCCAAUGGGGACAUCCCUGGUCAUGGCCAAAGCCAACAUCCAGGAAAGGAAGGCUACCAGGAAUUUUUUCUCAUUCCUCAGAGAUUUGUGUGCAGAUGGGAGUCCUAAGCCUCAGGGAGACCAGAGAACAAGAGGGACAAGGUGAAGUGGACUGAGUUGGAGGGGUCUGCCAUUUCUGUGUGAGACUGGGGAAGUCUCCUCAGAUCAAUUCAUAGUAAUGGGGGAAAAGGUCCCUGAACCAAUGAAGGAUUUGGAUCUGGAUGUACAUGACACAGAGAAAAAAGGAGCAGGCCAUGCCACAGGUAGGAGGUAUAGACAAGAGGUCAGGUGUAGGCAAGAAGCUAAUUCUUGCUGUGAGAGCUGCUGGGGAUAUUGUAGGGCUUCCCUAUCCUCUGAUAAGUGCCCCUAUUUCUGCCUGUAUCUGUACAAGCUGGUCCUUUCCCCCUCUCCACCAUGAUCCUGCCACCCCAAACAAGAUGGCCCUAGGUCAUUAAGGGGAUUGUUGGCCAGCUAGAUGAAGGCAGUCAGAGCUAGGGCCUAUUCGCUCCCUAGGACAAAGGGUCUGAGCCCCCAGUGAAGCGGGUAAAGUCUACUCAUUUAAUAACUAGGCAGCAUUUGUCUAAGUUCACUGUGCCAGGACAAAAGUGAAGCAGGCCUACCCUCAAGGAGAUUCCAUUCGACAAGAGAACCCACCACCUUCAUUGAUAAGUACUUAACAUAAGGCCUUGUGGUGAGGGACUUCGGACUUUGAGAUGACACAGGCAUCCUUUGCUGCCAUCAUGGGACCAAGGGAUUGCAAUGUCAUCCCAAAACUCCACCCAAAUCCUUCAACCCUGAGCCCGCUCCCACCCCCCACCCUCUCCAACACACACUCACACGACACCCCUGAAAUGGCCUGGGCUUGGCCAGACCCGUCAGUCAUGGGGCUUAGUGGGUUGCUCCCAUUACAAGGAUGUACAUGCAAAAUAAAUAAUGCCCC
rnacentral:lncRNA from 1 species